GGUUUGACCCCUAUAAAUUUGUUCUAACUUCCAAAUGACCCCUUUAGUUGAUAUAACUUUUUAAUUUAUCGUCCAUCAUAAAUUUUUUUGUUUAUUUGACCGCUAUAAAACUUGUUUGUAGAUCCGCCACUGGUAUAUACAUACAUUUUAAUGGAGCUGUGAGAAUACUUUUGAG
rnacentral:sRNA from 1 species